UACGUAGGGUGCGAGCGUUUAAUCGGAAUUACUGGGCGUAAAGUGUGCGCAGGUGGCCGCGCAAGUCGAGUGUGAAAUCCCCGAGCUUAACUUGGGAAUUGCGCUCGAAACUACGUGGCUAGAGUGUGGCAGAGGGAGGUGGAAUUCCACGUGUAGCGGUGAAAUGCGUAGAGAUGUGGAGGAACACCAAUGGCGAAGGCAGCCUCCUGGGCCAACACUGACACUCAUGCACGAAAGCGUGGGGAGCAAACAGG
rnacentral:rRNA from 1 species